GACGAACGCUGGCGGCGUGCUUAACACAUGCAAGUCGAACGGUGAUCCGGGCUUCGGCCCGGGGAUCAGUGGCGAACGGGUGCGUAACACGUGGGCAACCUGCCUCAGACACUGGGAUAACCCCGGGAAACCGGGCUAAUACCGGAUACUCCGACCGGACUGCAUGAUCCGGCCGGGAAAGCUCCGACGGUCUGAGAUGGGCCCGCGGCCUAUCAGCUUGUUGGUGGGUAACGCCCACCAAGGCGACGACGGGAGCUGGUCUGAGAGGACGACCAGCCACACUGAACUGAGACACGGUCCAGACUCUUACGGGAGGCAGCAGUGGGGAAUCUUGCGCAAUGGGCGAAAGCCUGACGCAGCGACGCCGCGUGGGGA
rnacentral:rRNA from 1 species